rnacentral:lncRNA from 1 species
GGACAAGGGUGGCCCUGGGAGACCCCAGGGGACCCAGGGGAGGUGGGGAAAUGGGGUGGAAACAGAAGGAAUGGCCCUCCCUGCCAGCAGCACCACUACAAGCCCCAAGGGGGCCCCCGGAUGGAAGACAGCUGCAGGUGCCUGGUCCUGCGGGGAGCACAUGUGUGCACGUGUGUGCUGGCACGAGCCUCUGUGGGCACGGCUACAAGAGGCGGCUGUGAGCUGGGGCCUCUGCAUAGGGAGCUGGACCUGCUCACUCUGUCCCUAGGCCCCCAGGCUCUAAGUGGGGAUGGAGAUGGGGUGGGGCUGGCAGGGCAGCGAGUCCAAGGCCUCUGGCCCCCGGACUCCAGCAGGCACACAGAGCCGGCUCUGGUCCCCACACUCUGCCCCUGACCCAGAGGGACCCCACUGCCUCUAUCACCCCUUCCCCCGAGAGGCCUCUCUCAUCUCAGCAUCUGCCCUUGGAGACUGGGUGGCAGAGGCUAGUUGCUG